rnacentral:rRNA from 1 species
AUGCAAGUCGAGCGGACAGAUGGGAGCUUGCUCCCUGAUGUUAGCGGCGGACGGGUGAGUAACACGUGGGUAACCUGCCUGUAAGACUGGGAUAACUCCGGGAAACCGGGGCUAAUACCGGAUGCUUGAUUGAACCGCAUGGUUCAAUUAUAAAAGGUGGCUUUUAGCUACCACUUACAGAUGGACCCGCGGCGCAUUAGCUAGUUGGUGAGGUAACGGCUCACCAAGGCAACGAUGCGUAGCCGACCUGAGAGGGUGAUCGGCCACACUGGGACUGAGACACGGCCCAGACUCCUACGGGAGGCAGCAGUAGGGAAUCUUCCGCAAUGGACGAAAGUCUGACGGAGCAACGCCGCGUGAGUGAUGAAGGUUUUCGGAUCGUAAAACUCUGUUGUUAGGGAAGAACAAGUACCGUUCGAAUAGGGCGGUACCUUGACGGUACCUAACCAGAAAGCCACGGCUAACUACGUGCCAGCAGCCGCGGUAAUACGUAGGUGGCAAGCGUUGUCCGGAAUUAUUGGGCGUAAAGCGCGCGCAGGCGGUUUCUUAAGUCUGAUGUGAAAGCCCCCGGCUCAACCGG